CUUCGAAGGAACUAACGGUAAGAAAUGCCUGGUAACACAGCGGUGGUAGGAUUUGUGUCUCCCAAAGCCAGGCCAUCAGAGUUUCUCACAGUGCUGUUAAUGCGCCCGCACCACACCGCGCAUGCGUGCAAUCCCGCAUCAUAAAUAACGGAUUUACAAGCUUAACUCCGACUCAGCAAUAGCACACGUGUGGAACGCGGCUGAGUGACUGUCACCAUGAGACCCUUAGCUCUGGCCUUGGAGGUUUCCUCAACCUGAGGCUGGGGCUUUGCAGGGUGGGCUGAAGAAAGCCUCUCUGCCUGGGCCUGACGUCUUGCCUAAUGAGCAGAAACACCCUUUUGGACUUAAGGAUCCUGAGCCCCCUGGCCACAAAUCACGAAGCAAAAGAAAUCAAGCAUUAAGGUUUUCCCCAGAUACUUAUUGACCGGAAUGGACUGGAAAUGCUUACAAAGGUAUAGAGAAGUUUGAAGCCAGAUAGACAGCCUUCAGCACCUAUACAGAGAACUGACCCUCUGACAAAGGAUUCUGCUGGAACAAGAGGUCAGGCCCAUCACUGCAGGCAGAGGCAUGCUGGAGGAAGAGGGGCAGAGAAGAAUUGACAGAACUUCCCCAGCAGAGGCUGCCAGAGGCCACACAGUUCCUCACACUGGUGUCACCUGCUUUAAGGAUGAAGAUGCCGAGAGGCAGGCACGUGGCAUACCGCAAAUGGCAACUUACAGGAUGCCCUGGAGACUCAGGUUUUUCUUUAAAAGUGUGUCUGAGGAAGUGAGAGUGUGGCCCCUCCUUACCCGUUGGAACAGUUCUCCUCCAGGCAGGCCCAAGAAAGUUGUGGAAGGGCAGCCAAGCAAGAAACAAGGAUUUAAGCAUUUUUAAACCAGUCCUAUUAGGGUAUAAAGGAGCUUUGAAGUCCAUUCUCGCAUAGCAAUUUCACUGCAACUGACCAUCCACAGUCUAAACAGCACACCGUAACCCACUUUUAGGAAAUAAAACAUGAGGACAAAAUUCAUACUUGCAUGAGGGAAAUCUGGAAGGCUACACAGUGCUAACAGCUAUAGGAGCGGAGGGUUUGCGACUUUGUCCUUUGUAAUAUUCAAUGACAAGAUUAUUUUGAAUUGUGUGAGUACAUUGCUUUUGCAAAACAUUGAGUAUAAAAUAUUUUUUUUUAAAGAAAGACCACUAAGUACUGAAGGAAUUAAAAAAAUGUGGAGCUCAGAGAAACCUCUCCAGCCUUCCAGGCUCCUUGAGGGCUGGAACAGGAAGGACCUGUAAGCCAUUUUGUUUAACUCCCUCCUCAGUGAUGGCCAUAACCUUCCAAUGCCCCUCACUUGGCAACUCCUAGGUUACAUGUCAUGGACAGACAGUGCUGAUCUAGGAGUUGCAACGGGCAGAAAGAACAGGCUCUGACUUCAACAGCCUCUGAGUGUGUCUUAUAGCACCAAGGAAAGUCUAUGAGUUCCAGGACAAAACAGGGGCCCGGAAUUAGGUAAGUGGCAGAGCUCAAAGAACAUUUUCAACCAUCCAAGAGGAUGGAUUAUAUUAGGACUCCAGGAGGAUAGGGUUAACAGACAUAGAGGACUCGCAUGAAGACCCAGACCUGAGUGUGGAGAAUUGCCUGGGUUGGCUGGAGAUCAGGGCAGCAUAGUGGAAUGAUGGUGUAAGAAUCUGUGUGAGAUACUAGUCUAGGGUACUUCUUUUAUAAUUCAGUAGAAAAUAGAGAAUGAUGAAGCCUCAC
rnacentral:lncRNA from 1 species